UAAGGGUUGACACUGUACACGACCCCAUUAGUCUUGUUUAACUUUCUGGCCAUACAUCUUCUGAAGUCUGAAUGGAAAAUAAAGGGGUCAUGUCCUUAAUCUAACAGAAACUUGCUCUUAACAGAUAAAGAUGGCCAUUAACUGUCAUUUUUCUGUACUCUGCAUGACAGCUGUCAGGGAAAAUGAAUAUGUCCCUGCAGGAAAGAUCAUUGCUGUGUCUAUUGUACACGGGGGACCAGCACCACAUUUCCUGUCAAAGGACCUCGUUAACCACAUUGUAGGGAAUCGCAGUUUUGGUGCCACUGUGGAAGAUAUCACAGAUGAGCAGAUAGGGAGAGUUCUGCAUCAGCUCCAUGUUCCAGACUGCUGGAUGCUUCCUACAUGUGAAGAGUUCUGAGGAUAGGCAAACUGUUGUGGAGGAAUACCUCAGAUGGUAUAUUCUACACAGAAACCAGAGUGUUAUUCAAAGAUUCAAAGAAGGACUUGCAAGUCUACAGUUUUUGACCGCACUCCAGCAGCAUCCGUGUGUGUUGGCCCCACUCUUGUGCCACUCUCAGAAUAACCUGACAGCUGCUGACAUGGAAAGACUGUUUAGUCCACACCUCAGUCCAGCAGGAAGUAACAGUCGUCAGAAAGAAGGCAAAGCACUUGGAUUUUGGGCAAAUUUUCUUCUUGAUUGUGAAGAAAAAGCACCUGCAGUGUCCCUAGAGGAUGUCCUGCUGUUUGCUACAGGGCUCGCAUCACUUCCACCUGCUGGAAUUACACCAUUACCAUGCAUCGAGUUCGUACCAAAUUCGCCUUUUCCAAUGUCACCUGUGCAAAUGACACCUGUGCAAAUAUGCUGAAGCUGCCUUUCCUUGAGACCUACAGUGUCUUUAAGACAAACAUGGAGUUUGCCUUACAGAAUUCUCCAGGCUUUGGAUGCAUUUAAUGCUGUGCCAAGUCUGGAUUUUGCACAGUCUUAAACAUGCAGUUCAUGAAGCAUAAGAGUGCAUGCUCAGUUCAAAGUAUCUUAAUUGGUAUUACUUCUGUUCAUCACUUUGUUCAAUGAAAAAAAUCAUAGAACAAAUGCUAAGUACAGGUCACAUUACAACUGUACUCAGCUAAAAUGUAUGUAGUUUCAUAUUUGAAACCGUCUAUAACGUUAGGUUGAAUAAUCCUUUAACUAUUGAAAUCUACAACCCUUUUUACCUCAGCCCAGUUGCUCCUAUGGCGUUUGCACUGUAUACCAUGCAGAAAUAAAUGUAAACAAUACCUCUUGAAAAGAACCACUUUUCUUUGGUUGUUCAGAUCUACAAUUGACACACAGUUACCUCGAUGGUGAAUCAGAAAAUAAACAAAUCGUUUGUGAGUUACAUUUGAGUUUAAUAUAUGUCUUGACUCUGGUAUGACACUGCAUAUACUGAUCUCCACUUCCCACACAUGAUACUCAAACAGCUGUUAGAAAUCGGCGGUUUCGUAUAGUGGUCAAAUAAUGUAUAACCCGUA